rnacentral:lncRNA from 1 species
AAUUUAACAGGUGUCAAAUUUUAACAGGACCCUUGCCAGAGCAUCCACAUCCAGCCAAGGUGCGGGAGAAAGCUUGGGCAUAGCUGAAAGAGAACUAAGAUACCUGACGCAUGAAGGAUCUCUGAACAAGAAUACUUCCAGACAGAGCGGAGCCAAAUCGACCCAUAGAGGUAGCAGUCAGCCAAAUGGAGACUGCAAAAGACCUGGGGCUGGGGAGGAAAGAAGUGCCCUCUGGGCCUCAGUGGCUGC